rnacentral:rRNA from 1 species
UACGAAGGGGGCUAGCGUUGCUCGGAAUCACUGGGCGUAAAGCGCACGUAGGCGGAUUGUUAAGUCAGGGGUGAAAUCCUGGAGCUCAACUCCAGAACUGCCUUUGAUACUGGCGAUCUCGAGUCCGGGAGAGGUGAGUGGAACUGCGAGUGUAGAGGUGAAAUUCGUAGAUAUUCGCAAGAACACCAGUGGCGAAGGCGGCUCACUGGCCUGGUACUGACGCUGAGGUGCGAAAGCGUGGGGAGCGAACAGG